rnacentral:rRNA from 1 species
GACGAACGCUGGCGGCGUGCUUAACACAUGCAAGUCGAACGGAAAGGCCCUGCUUUUGUGGGGUGCUCGAGUGGCGAACGGGUGAGUAACACGUGAGUAACCUGCCCUUGACUUGGGGAUAACUUCAGGAAACUGGGGCUAAUACCGGAUAGGAGCUCCUGCUGCAUGGUGGGGGUUGGAAAGUUUCGGCGGUUGGGGAUGGGAUCGCGGCUUAUCAGCUUGGUGGUGGGGUAGUGGCUAACCAAGGCUUGGACGGGUAUCCGACGUGAGAGGGUGACCGUCUAAAUAGGCACUCAAUGACGGACCAGACUACGAAGGGCGUAAGCCAUGUGGAAUAUUGCACAUAGGGCGGAAGGCUGAUGCAGCAACUCUGCAAGCGGGAUGACAGACUUCGGGUUGUAAACCGCUUUCGAAUGUGACGAAGAGUGGGUGUCGGUACUGGGUAACGAAUCACCGGCUAACUACGUG